rnacentral:rRNA from 1 species
AGAGUUUGAUCCUGGCUCAGGACGAACGCUGGCGGCGUGCUUAACACAUGCAAGUCAAGGCAGAAAGUACCUUCGGGUGCGAGUAAACUGGCGAACGGGUGAGUAACGUGUAGGUAAUUUUCCUUUAAGUGGGGUAUAGCCAGGCGAAAGCCUGAUUAACACCGCAUACAAUCAUGAUUCGAUGGAGUUGUGAUAAAAGAUGGGUUCCUUCGGGACCAUUGCUUAAAGAUAAGCCUGCAUCUGAUUAGUUAGUUGGUAGGGUAACGGCCUACCAAGACCACGAUCAGUAGCUGUUCUAAGAGGAAGAUCAGCCACAUUGGGACUGAGAUACGGCCCAGACUCCUACGGGAGGCAGCAGUGAGGAAUUUUGCGCAAUGGGUGAAAUCCUGACGCAGCAACGCCGCGUGACCGAUUGAAGCUUUUAGGAGUGUAAAGGUCUGUCGCGAGGGAAGAAAAUAACCGAGAAGAAAAGUUCGGUAGUUGACGGUACCUCGCAAGCAAGCUCCGGCUAACUUCGUGCCAGCAGCCGCGGUAAUACGAGGGGAGCAAGCGUUGUCCGAAAUAACUGGGCGUAAAGGGUACGUAGGCUUUUUUGUAUGUUUUCGGUGAAAGUCACAGGCUUAACUUGUGAAUUGCCGGAAAAACUGCAGAGAUUGAAUCCGAAAGGGGAAAGCAGAAUUCCUGGUGUAGCGGUGAAAUGCGUAGAUAUCAGGAGGAAUACCAGUGGCGAAGGCGGCUUUCUGGUUCGGAAUUGACGCUGAUGUACUAAAGCGUGGGUAGCAAACAGGAUUAGAUACCCUGGUAGUCCACGCCUUAAACUAUGGAUACUUGAUGUCGGGGCGUUCGGUCGACCCGGUGUCGUAGCUAACGUGUUAAGUAUCCCGCCUGGGGACUACGGUCGCAAGACUGAAACUCAAAGGAAUUGACGG